rnacentral:lncRNA from 1 species
GAAAGGAAGGUAACAUGUGCAUCUCUUCCUCAUAAGACACCCAUAACGACCUCUGUUGGCCUCAGCCAAAGUCCAAGGUGACACAUGAUCAGAAGAUAAUCCUGAGGACCUCAUCCCGGAUAUAAUUUUCAACUCCAAUCUCCAUUUGAACCCCGUUCUCCAGAAAAUGCCGCAACACUUCCUUUUCUCCAUUCUUCGAUUUU